rnacentral:rRNA from 1 species
UACGUAGGGUGCAAGCGUUAAUCGGAAUUACUGGGCGUAAAGCGUGCGCAGGCGGUUGUGCAAGACAGAUGUGAAAUCCCCGGGCUUAACCUGGGAAUUGCAUUUGUGACUGCACGGCUAGAGUGUGUCAGAGGGGGGUAGAAUUCCACGUGUAGCAGUGAAAUGCGUAGAUAUGCGGAGGAACACCGAUGGCGAAGGCAAUCCCCUGGACCUGUACUGACGCUCAUGCACGAAAGCGUGGGGAGCAAACAGG